UACGGGGGGAGCAAGCGUUGUUCGGAUUUACUGGGCGUAAAGGGCGCGUAGGCGGCCACCGCAAGUCAAUUGUGAAAUCUCCGGGCUUAACUCGGAAAGGUCAGCCGAUACUGCGGGGCUAGAGUGCAGAAGGGGCAACUGGAAUUCUCGGUGUAGCGGUGAAAUGCGUAGAUAUCGAGAGGAACACCUGCGGCGAAGGCGGGUUGCUGGGCUGACACUGACGCUGAAGUGCGAAAGCUAGGGGAGCGAACGGG
rnacentral:rRNA from 1 species